rnacentral:rRNA from 1 species
UACGUAGGGGGCUAGCGUUGUCCGGAAUCAUUGGGCGUAAAGAGCGUGUAGGCGGCUUGGUAAGUCCGCUGUGAAAGUCCAGGGCUUAACCCUGGAAAGCCAGUGGAAACUGUCAAGCUAGAGUCCGGAAGAGGUGAGUGGAACUCCUGGUGUAGCGGUGAAAUGCGCAGAUAUCAGGAAGAACACCAAUGGCGAAGGCAGCUCACUGGGACGGUACUGACGCUGAGGAGCGAAAGUGUGGGGAGCGAACAGG